UUAGUAGCGGCGAGUGAAGCGGCAAAAGCUCAAAUUUGAAAUCUGGCGCCUUCGGUGUCCGAGUUGUAAUUUGAAGAUUGUAACCUUGGGGUUGGCUCUUGUCUAUGUUUCUUGGAACAGGACGUCACAGAGGGUGAGAAUCCCGUGCGAUGAGAUGCCCAAUCCUAUGUAAGGUGCUUUCGAAGAGUCGAGUUGUUUGGGAAUGCAGCUCUAAGUGGGUGGUAAAUUCCAUCUAAAGCUAAAUAUUGGCGAGAGACCGAUAGCGAACAAGUACAGUGAUGGAAAGAUGAAAAGAACUUUGAAAAGAGAGUGAAAAAGUACGUGAAAUUGUUGAAAGGGAAGGGUUUGAGAUCAGACUCGAUAUUUUGUGAGCCUUGCCUUCGUGGCGGGGUGACCCGCAGCUUAUCGGGCCAGCAUCGGUUUGGGCGGUAGGAUAAUGGCGUAGGAAUGUGACUUUACUUCGGUGAAGUGUUAUAGCCUGCGUUGAUGCUGCCUGCCUAGACCGAGGACUGCGAUUUUAUCAAGGAUGCUGGCAUAAUGAUCCCAAACCGC
rnacentral:rRNA from 1 species